CACGUAGGGUGCGAGCGUUGUCCGGAAUUAUUGGGCGUAAAGAGCUCGUAGGCGGUGUGUCGCGUCGGCCGUGAAAACCUGCAGCUUAACUGUGGGCUUGCGGUCGAUACGGGCAUCACUGGAGUUCGGCAGGGGAGACUGGAAUUCCUGGUGUAGCGGUGAAAUGCGCAGAUAUCAGGAGGAACACCGGUGGCGAAGGCGGGUCUCUGGGCCGAUACUGACGCUGGAGGAGCGAAA
rnacentral:rRNA from 1 species